rnacentral:lncRNA from 1 species
AAACAUUUGAUUUUGUUUUGUGUUGAGGAAAUGAGUACAUUAUUUUAGUAUAAAAUUAUUAAACAUUAAUAAACUCUGAUUUGGCUCAAUUGCUCUAUAGGAAGCUAAUUCAGGAGCGCUCCCUAGUGGUGUAACAAACCUGUAAGAGAUUGUGAAGUCGGUAUUCUCUUCUGUAAAAGAUCUGUGGUGAAAUCAGCCUUGUGACUAUGGUGUAAUGUCACAAGUGUGUGUGUGGAGACGUGUUUUUUUUUUUUUUACUAUUGACGUAAGCGGGGGGUUCCUAAACGUUGUAUAUGAAUAACACGGUAUAAAUACCGCGCGCAGAUUAUAAGGAACUCAUCUGCCGGUUCCUCCUCAGUUCUGUUUUCUCCCUGCUGAAGAACCGACCUUUAUCUGGAUUUAUCUGACCAACACACAGGAGCAUGUCGAGGAGAGACGUGUCGGUGAUCGCUGAGUGUGCUCAGCAGCUGCGUGUGAUGGGUGAUUUGAUCCAGCUGAGAUACCUGCUGCUGAGCCUGCUGGCCAGGAACUAUAAACUACUGCAGAAGAUUAAAUGAGGAGGAGCAGGAGGACGGGAUGUGACGACACUGACCUGAGGGCAUUCGCUGCCGACUGAACCAAUCUCUCUCUCUGCCGGAGUUCUGAGCUUUUGCUUUACUGGUGGAUCUGCCUGAAUCUGUCUGGAUGUGUCUAGACGUCCAGUGCUGUGAUUGAUCUGCUGUCUGGAUCUGAGGAAUUCACGGCUGUGAGCAGGGCGCCGUUUCUUUCUUUCUGAGCAAAAAUGAGCCGAACGCCACAGUGCCAGUCUGAACCGAGGGCCCUGAGGGUCCAGAGGGUCUGGAGGAUCCAGAGGGUCCAUGGACUGCACUGAAACACGUCUCAGUGAAUAUAAUAUUGGAUGAUGGAUUUAAUAUUCACUGUAUUGUUAUUAGAGUUCACUGAGUUUGAGUGGGUGGGACUUUCUAAGGACUUUCCAAACAUGUGACUGGAGACGUCACAACCCAACACAUCAUCACAUCAACACAACAACAGCCACGUCAUGCAGUUCCAGUUCUAGUUCCCUAUAUCCACAGAGAUCCCAUAUCGACAGAUUUAUUGAUUGCUUAAUUUUACCUCGUCUGAACGUGGGUGUGUUUUUAUUUACAUGAUAUACAGCUCUGAAAAAAAUGAAGAGAUCACUUCAGUUUCUGAUUUUGCUAUUUAUAGAUAUAUAUUUAAGUAAAAUUAACAUGGUUGUUUAAUUUUAUGAACUACAAACAACAUUUC